rnacentral:rRNA from 1 species
AUUCCAGCUCCAAUAGCGUAUAUUAAAGUUGUUGUGGUUAAAAAGCUCGUAGUUGGAUCUCGGCGGUCUGAGGGCGGUUCGCUUCAGAGCGCUACUGCCCUAUAGACCGUAGUUUUGCCAGAGGUCUCAGGGUGCUCUUAACCGAGUGUCUUGCGAUGCUGGCAGGUUUACUUUGAAAAAAUUAGAGUGCUCAAAGCAGGCUUUUACGCCUGAAUAUUCGUGCAUGGAAUAAUAGAAUAGGAAGUCGUUUCUAUUUUGUUGGUUUUCGGAAAUCGACUUAAUGAUCAAUAGGGACAGUCAGGGGCACUCGUAUUCCGCCGAGAGAGGUGAAAUUCUCAGACCAGCGGAAGACGAACCACUGCGAAAGCAUUUGCCAGGGAUGUUUUCAUUA